CGACUCUCGGCAACGGAUAUCUUGGCUCUCGCAUCGAUGAAGAACGUAGCGAAAUGCGAUACUUGGUGUGAAUUGCAGAAUCCCGUGAACCAUCGAGUCUUUGAACGCAAGUUGUGCCCGAGGCUAUCCGGCCGAGGGCACGC
rnacentral:rRNA from 1 species